CAUCUAAUAAGCAAACAAUAAUUAAUAGAAUUUCGGGGGUCAGAGGUUUCUCGUUUGGUCCUUAAUACUUCGCACGCAACAAACAAAAUGGUACUAUAAAUACGAAAAAAAUUCUUUAACAUACAUCAGUUAUUGUCGUGAAUUCAUCAGUUCAUUAACAAUCAUUUAAGAUGAAAUUCUUCAACCUUUUCUUCAUUGUCGUCUUCGCCCUUGUGGCUCUUCAUCAGACUGCUAAUGCUUGCAUUGCCAACCGUAACGGUUGCCAACCUGACGGACGUCAAGGGAACUGCUGUUCAGGAUACUGUCACAAACAACCUGGCUGGGUAGCUGGUUACUGUAAAUGAAGAUAGUCUUGCACUUUCUUUAUGUAUUAUUUAUGUAUUAAUAAAAUAAAGUGUUAAGCGAAUUA